rnacentral:rRNA from 1 species
CUACGUAGCUCAGAGUUUGAUCCUGGCUCAGGACGAACGCUGGCGGCGUGCCUAACACAUGCAAGUCGAGCGGGGAUUGUGGAGAGCUUGCUCAAAACAAUUCUAGCGGCGGACGGGUGAGUAACGCGUGAGUAACCUGCCUGUUACUGGGGAAUAACGCAUCGAAAGGUGUGCUAAUACCGCAUGAGACCACAGGACCGCAUGGUCAAGGGGUCAAAGAUUUAUCGGUAACAGAUGGGCUCGCGUCUGAUUAGAUAGUUGGUGAGGUAACGGCUCACCAAGUCGACGAUCAGUAGCCGACCUGAGAGGGUGAUCGGCCACAUUGGAACUGAGAAACGGUCCAA